UACGGAGGAUCCAAGCGUUAUCCGGAUUUAUUGGGCUUAAAGGGUGCGUAGGCGGCCUAUUAAGUCAGGGGUGAAAGACGGUAGCUUAACUAUCGCAGUGCCCUUGAUACUGAUGGGCUUGAAUACACUAGAGGUAGGCGGAAUGUGACAAGUAGCGGUGAAAUGCAUAGAUAUGUCACAGAACACCAAUUGCGAAGGCAGCUUACUAUGGUGCGAUUGACGCUGAGGCACGAAAGCGUGGGGAUCAAACAGG
rnacentral:rRNA from 1 species